CCACCUGGUGGUCCAACCAAUUCACGACGUCGAUCUCGCUCUCAUUCUCCUCGUAGAAGGUCACAGUCACCAAGACGUAGAUCAAGAUCACGAGAAAGAAGUGGCGAACCUUCAAAACCAAGCCACAGACCUCAAAUUGAUGAAUCACAGUUACAAGGAAUGA